ACGUGCAAGCUUGUUCUAAAAUAAAGAUAAUUUAACAAGGCCACCGAUUAAAAUACAGCGUUACAUAUCUUCUGUACAUAUCAUACGUAAAGGACUACCUAUCAAGUGAACUUAACUAAAGUUAUGGAAGAAAUCAUGGGAAGAUGCAGCAAGGUCUUCAAUGACCCUAUCCAUGGGCAUAUAGAAUUGCCUGAAUUAUGUGUGAAGAUAAUAGACACGCCGUACUUUCAACGCCUGAGAAAUAUAAAACAAAUUGGAACCUGUUAUUUGGUUUACCCGGGAGCCAGUCACAACAGAUUUGAGCAUUCGCUUGGUGUAUGUUUUCUUGCGGGCAAAUUAUUGAAGGAAAUAAGAAACAAACAGGAAGGAAUACUGGACCCAAAAGAUAUUUUAUGUGUACAGAUUGCAGGACUGUGCCAUGACCUAGGUAAGUAAUAUUGAAAUGUUG